UCAUAUGGCGACUUCGAACACGUUUUUAGAAAGAAGUGCAACACCUGCAGCUGCAAAAGAGAGGGAGACGGCGUGGGAGAACAUUGCUGCCCGGGUCAAUGCGUAAGUUUAAAUCACAAUAAUAUUACAGGAAAACUGUUUAAUAGCAGCCUAUUCUGUUAUUUCAUUUAGGUGCAAUCCUGCAGGGGAGAAGCGCAUGUGGCAGCAGCUGAAGAUGAAAUAUAAGAACACUGUUCAAACAGCCAACAGAAAGAAAGCAGAUGCCUAUAAAAAGGGAGGAGGCCCAGCAGCACCACCUCUAACGGAGGCAGAGGAGCUGGUCCUAAGCCAGAAUUUGGGAAGGCCAGUGGCUGAGGGAAUCCCUGGAGGGAGCUCAUCCUCUGAGACCACAUCCCAAGACACAAGUGUGUGCGUGUGUGUGCGUGUGUGUGUGUGCGUGUGUUCAUGCGCUCAUGCGCCCACUGAACAUUUGCCAUAAGGAAGCACAGGGCACUGCAUUGUUUCUGCGUACGAGCGAGUGUGUGUGCAGCCACAGCGAUGGCAUGCGUGAAGGGGUGUGCUUUAAAGAUAGUGAGUUUAAUUAAAGAUGAAAGGGCUGAUGAUUAAUUGAUGGAAGGUGGACUGUUCCAUCAGGCUGAAAUGUGUGAGUGUGUGUUGACUCUUCUACUGUAGAAAAACAGAAAAAGUGGAAAAAAGCUACAUUUUUUUGAGAAAACUAGGACAGCAUCUUAAGAGACACAUUAUAUUGUCAUUUAAAAACAAAUGCUAAAUAGAAUUUGCUAAUUUGAUCAGUCCUUUAUUGAAGAAAACUGGCGUGGAGGUUCAGAUACACACAUCUGGAUGACAAAAAAGAUAUUUAAAUGAUUUUCUAGUGCAGAUCUUUGCCUGUAUUUACUCAUGCCGUGCUAUAGAAGUGAGCAGAUCAUCCCUGCUGUAUUUUUACUGCUCAUCUCUCAGCAGGUCUUCCUUUGCCCCCGUCUUCUCAAGGUGGCACCGAGUUCUUCGAGUGCCUCUGAGACUCUCCUCUAUAAAAAAUGGAGCAGCACAAGCUCUUUUGACAUCACACUUUCUGCUACCAGGAGAUUAGAAAGUGAAGGUGGAGCACUCCGGAGAAAACGCUCUCGGUCUGUGCAUCUGUACUGAAGAUUUAAUCUCCACGCGACACUGUGAGUCAGAGAGGUUGCUGGGGGAUUGGUUUGUCUCACCUGCCACUAAUGCUAAUGUGAUUAUUCCAGUCUAGCUGUAAAUUUCUGUAUAUAUUUUUAUUUAAUUUUGCUAUUUCAUUUUUCUUCCUGUUCCUCUUUCUAUAGUUUAUUAUUCUCUUCCAUAUUCCUAGUGUGACACCAACAGCCGAAACCAAAUCCCUUGCAUGUUGUGUAUUUACUAAAGCUGAUUCUGAUCACUUUUCUGUCUUUGGUCUAGGCAAGAGGAAAAGGUGCAACAGAAAAUUGGACCUUCCAAGCGUACUUGUGGAGAUGCAGGCUGAGGAGGAGUGGAGUCAUGCCCAGCAUGAUGAGAACAUCUGGUUGCUCCUCAGCGAGGCAAGAGAGAAUGAAGCGGCCUUGCAGCGGAGGAGAUGGUCCAGAAUGCUGCCUUCAACCAGUCAUUCCUGGGUGUACUGGGGCAGCUGGGGCAGCUGGUGCAGGCAGUGCUGGGUGUGCUGGGGCAGCUGGUGCAGGCAGUGCUGGGUGUGCUGGGGCAGCUGGUGCAGGCAGUGCUGGGUGUACUGGGGCAGCUGGUGCAGGCAGUGGGCAGCCAGUGAGUCCACCUCCCAGAGACUUGAGAUUUAGUUGUAUAUAGUUUUACUUUUAGCCCUCCACUGUAGGAGAGGCCCACCACAGUUUGUACUUUGCACAUUGUAAAUAGUUUUGAUUUUGCUGCUGACUAAUAAACUAUUUUGUGACUUA